CGGAGGGUGCAAGCGUUAUCCGGAUUCACUGGGUUUAAAGGGUGUGUAGGCGGGCUGUUAAGUCAGUGGUGAAAUCUCCAGGCUCAACCUGGAAACUGCCAUUGAUACUAUCAGUCUUGAAUACUGUUGAGGUAGGCGGAAUAAGUCAUGUAGCGGUGAAAUGCAUAGAUAUGACUUAGAACACCAAUUGCGAAGGCAGCUUACUAAACAGUUAUUGACGCUGAGGCACGAAAGCGUGGGGAUCAAACAGGAUUAGAUACCCUGGUAGUCCACGCCCUAAACGAUGAUUACUCGACAUACGCGAUACACAGUGUGUGUCUGAGCGAAAGCAUUAAGUAAUCCACCUGGGAAGUACGUCCGCAAGGAUG
rnacentral:rRNA from 1 species